GCUCCCUCUCUCUAAUCCUUGCUAUCUGGGUGCUAGUGCUGUCUCAAUGCAAUGCACCUAGGCAAGGAUUCAGAGAGGGUGAGC
rfam:Loxodonta africana unplaced genomic scaffold scaffold_56, whole genome shotgun sequence.